GAGGCGUGGAUCCCGCAUUGCUGUGGCUCUGGCGUAGGCUCGCAGCUACAGCUCCGACUGGACCCCUAGCCUGGG
rnacentral:precursor_RNA from 1 species